rnacentral:rRNA from 1 species
UACGAAGGGUGCAAGCGUUAUUCGGAUUCACUGGGCGUAAAGGGUGCGCAGGCGGCCGUGUGUGUAAGGUGUGAAAUCCCGGGGCUUAACCCCGGAACUGCGCCUUAAACUACAUGGCUAGAGUAUUGGAGAGGGUAGUGGAAUUCACGGUGUAGCAGUGAAAUGCGUAGAUAUCGUGAGGAACACCAGAGGCGAAGGCGACUACCUGGACAAUUACUGACGCUCAUGCACGAAAGCGUGGGGAGCAAACAGGAUUAGAAACCCCUGUAGU